UAAAAAUAAAAAAUAAAUGAUCCGGUCGACCUUUGAUGUUUUUUAGUCAAAGCGGGAAAUAUUCAUGGAAAUAUUAUAUGCAUAGCAGUUUGUGUAAAAACGAAAAAAAAAAAAAACAAAAAACCAAAUCGUUAUGUUCAGAAAUAUACGAUUGAAUACGUUUACUUUGUGAAGCAGAUUUUCAAAAUUACGCGUAAACAGCACCGCCGGUAUAAUGACGCGGGGCACGCGUAUUUCAACCGAUUGGUCGACGUAAACACAAUAGCACCGCGGUCCGUCUGGACACCGCGGAACCCCGUGACGUGUGGAUUCCAACGUUUCGUGACGGACGCCGGACCGGAAGGUUGAAGUUAUUACACGGGUUCCGCGACGACGGAGCGCCAGCGACGGAACGAGCCUAAAACGGCCCGGUACCCGUCGCCCGCCAAAAGUUCCCGAUGCCCUCAAUGCAUCCCGAUAGUUUCUGUUUGGAAAAAAUGAAAUACACACAAAUAUUAAAAAUAACAUUCGUCGGCGUUCCGAGUGGAAAAAAAAAAAAAAUCGCUCGACCGUCGGAUAAUGAAUUCACGGUAAUAUUCUGAUGCGAACCGGAACAUCCGAUUAGCGGACAUGAAAUUAUUGAAGAAGUGAACGGCGGCCUUUUUUCGCUUUUGUUUUUUAUCGAUAUCAAACCUGUUCGCUCCUCUCCCCUUACUCUAUGGUGACAACGAAUUGUGAUUUUUUUCGCUUGACGUCCCGGCCGCGCUGAAUGGGAACCUCGGCAGUCACGGGCAAUGCUUUUGACCGUCGAUUGGCGGCCUGUGUACGUUAUCAUAAAUUGAGCUGUCGGUUUUGUGCAGCGUGCAAUACAUUAUUGUAAUUUUGUUUCGAAACGUGC